AGAGUUUGAUCCUGGCUCAGAGCGAACGCUGGCGGCAUGCUUAACACAUGCAAGUCGCACGGUCAGCAAUGGCAGUGGCGGACGGGUGAGUAACACGUAGGAAUCUAUCCCAGGGUGGGGGACAACAGCGGGAAACUGCUGCUAAUACCGCAUGAUACCUGAGGGUCAAAGGCGCAAGUCGCCUUGGGAGGAGCCUGCGUCUGAUUAGCUUGUUGGUGGGGUAAAGGCCUACCAAGGCUACGAUCAGUAGCUGGUCUGAGAGGAUGAUCAGCCACAUUGGGACUGAGACACGGCCCAAACUCCUACGGGAGGCAGCAGUGGGGAAUAUUGGACAAUGGGGGAAACCCUGAUCCAGCAAUGCCGCGUGUGUGAAGAAGGUCUUCGGAUUGUAAA
rnacentral:rRNA from 1 species